GAGUUUGAUCGUGGCUCAGAUUGAACGCUGGCGGCAUGCCUUACACAUGCAAGUCGAACGGCAGCACGGGAGCUUGCUCCUGGUGGCGAGUGGCGAACGGGUGAGUAAUGCAUCGGAACGUAUCCUGGAGUGGGGGAUAACGUAGCGAAAGUUACGCUAAUACCGCAUAUUCUGUGAGCAGGAAAGCGGGGGACCUUCGGGCCUCGCGCUCUUGGAGCGGCCGAUGUCGGAUUAGCUAGUUGGUGAGGUAAAGGCUCACCAAGGCGACGAUCCGUAGCAGGUCUGAGAGGAUGAUCUGCCACACUGGAACUGAGACACGGUCCAGACUCCUACGGGAGGCAGCAGUGGGAAUUUUGGACAAUGGGGGCAACCCUGAUCCAGCCAUGCCGCGUGAGUGAAGAAGGCUUUCGGGUUGUAAAGCUCUUUCGUCGAGGGAAGAAAUUGCACCGGACAAUACCUGGUGUAGAUGACGGUACCUUGAUAAGAAG
rnacentral:rRNA from 1 species